AACGAACGCUGGCGGCAUGCCUAACACAUGCAAGUCGAACGAGAACUUCGGGUCUAGUGGCGCUCGGGUGCGUACCGCGUGGUAAUCUGCCCUUGGGUUCGCUAUAACUGUUGGAAACGUCUGCUAAUACCGCAUGCUGACGUAAGUCCAAAGAUUUCUCGCGCAGGGCUGGGCCCGGGUAAGUUUAGCUUGUUGGUGGGGUAAACGCCUACCAAGGAGACGAUCCUUAGCUGGUCUGAGAGCCAGAUCAGCGGCACUGGGACUGAGACACGUCCUAGGACCAUAGGCGACGCUGCAGGUGGGAAUAUUAGGCAAGGGUCGAUAGCCUGAACCAGCUGGGCUGCGUGUGCCGUGAAGGCAUUAGGGGUGUAAGUUUCUCUGAAUCGGGAUGUUAAUGACAGUACCGGGAGAAGAAGCCCCGGCUAACUCCGUG
rnacentral:rRNA from 1 species